rnacentral:lncRNA from 1 species
ACCCUCCCAAUCGACAUUCAUAAAAGGAAGAAUACUGGCUGAUAAUUUUGUGACUGAAAAGGAGAUUGUAUCAUAGGCAUCAAGGUCGAAACAAAGAGGGAUUAUAUACAAAUUGGACUUCAAGAAAGUAUUUGAUAAUGUGGAAUGAUCAUUCCUAAUGGAUCUCUUGAGUGCAAGAGGUUUUAGUAGCAGAUGGCGUAAAUGGAUUCUUGAUAUUGUGUCUGCUACGAAGUCUUCAAUUCUGAUUAAUGGAUCAGCUGGUAAACUA